UCGUCAACUAAUCAGCAUGGAUCGCGCUCCAUGUUCGGCCGAGGAAGCAAUGCGGUGUCCCCGCGGAUAGGGCGUGCAGUUCUCGUGUUGUACCUCGCCGUUUUUUUUCGUGAUCAGUGAACGUGUUACGAAUCGACUGGUGCUCGGGACAACAAUAUACCGCUGAAUCUCGGUCGGAUCGUCGAGUGUUUACGAGUGAUUUGGUGAAUUUUGUGGAUCGUGGUUACACGACGCGAAUGAGGUGAAUGCUCGGCGGCAGUGGUGCGGUAGAGAAAACCGCCAAAAUUAUCAUUUACUUCUGUUCAAUUUCUCAUCCUAAUCACGGCAACGAGCUGUUGUUGGUGUAUUUGUGAUUCGUAUGUGCCAGUGCGCGGUCCCGAAGGUGUUCCAGGCAUUUGUUAUUAUUUUGCUGCGGUGCUUUUGACCCGAAAGCGGGCGAGUUCACUCGAGCCUGUCUAGAGGGGUGUCCGGUGCCUCGUCUGCAACGGCUGCCCGCGGCACGCAACUCCGAUAUUCCCUGGCAACGCUUGGCACCUUGGAUCUCCUCGAAUAUCUCUCGACUCUUCUACGUACUGGAAAUCCCGUGGGUGUUGGCCUGGUUUUAGAAGAAUGAUGUAAAUGCGAAGACAAUUAUUUGCCGAAAAGAAACGUCAAUCGAUACUGCUACAUUUUGAUAAGCUAAGCAACAUCGUCUCGCAUGCAACGGCUACGAACUGUAACCGCUGUAACAUUGCCGGAAAAGCUUGAAAUUAUUCAAACUCUCCUCGAAAGAAGCGAGAGUAAACAAAACAAAUAAGAAGACAGAGAAGAAGAAGUAACGAAAAACAAAUACCUGUUCAACUAAUCAUUUAUAGUAUAAAAAAAAAAGUGCAACAAAACAAACAAACUAACAAAAACCGACUGAAGUCUUAACCUUGACUUAAAUAAAAUAGCAACAAAUCACCGCCAAAGUAGUGUUAAAAAAAAAAAAAGAAAAAGAAAGAAAGAAGACGAACGUUAGUGUAUAUAAGAGCUAUUUUUCCUACGCAAAAGAAACAAAACAAAACAUAUUUCUCUAACUUUCGGGUAAAUUUAUAAUUAUACACUCUCGAUAGCCGUAAAUAAUACUGCCAAGAGGGAUAAAAAGAAGGGAAGAGAGAGAAAGAGAGAAAAUAAAGCAUAAAGAGGAGGAAAAGACGUGUAAAUUUCGUUUAGCCGAAAGAUUUAACACAUGUGAUUCUUGUCUGUCGCGCGGCCUAUCGAAUUGUUUAUAUCGACGAGCCUAAUUUGCCGGUAACAUCACAGUCAUCGUCGUAAUCGUAAUCGUUAUCGUUAUCUCGAACAGUUGCUAAGAUAGAACAAUAAUUUGCGUUUGAUGAUGACGAUGACGACGAUGAAAAAAAUAUCCGGAAAGCAAUAAAGACACCGAUGAUGACGCAAGGGAAACUGUAAAAUCUGUCGGAGUGUUUGAAGUAAAUUUCCAGCUAGACGUGGGACAACGACAAGUAUCAACGGAAGCCGAGUGUCUGGCUGGACGUCUCCAUCAUCGUCAUUGUCAUUCGUGAUAAGAGUCGGAGCGUUGGAAGCGCCGGUAAAAGAAUAAAAAGAAAAGGAAGACAAGAAACGAGAGGAAAAAUUACACACGCGUAAAAACUUUUCUUCGAGUGCGCUCGCGUGUUUCCUGUUUUCGUGGUAUUAUUGUAACACACAUGAUCCGUUCGUGCGGUUUGGCGGUAUUAAUAAGCAAAAUUUUAAGAACAGGAAGUGAGAAGAUAAUCGAAUCGAAAGAAGAAGCUUAAAACAUAAAGGGGUAAAAAUUUGACGUAGCCCUUGUGAGGCGAUAUAUUAUUAUUAGUAUUAUUAUUAUUUCGAGUGAAAAUCUUAGCCGGUCUAAGUGUAAGAAAGAACAAGAAGAAGACGAGAGAAAACAGGAAGUAGAGCCUGGUGGAUGCAGAGCAACCCAGUGGCCUGCGAGCCAAAUGUUAUGAGCCUUUGAGAACUGCCGUUGGCAGUCGGCGGCGCGGGUAUGGAGUAUGGCGGUGGUGGCGUUAGUGCCCGUGGGGGUGGCGGGGGUGUUCAACCCUCAACAGUAACGCGAGGUGUAGCAGGCACCGACACUACCGAUGCCGCGUGGCACAAGCACGAGCAGAUGAUCCUUAUGGAAUCCAGGCAGAAGCAGCAAAUGAGCGGAAGACAAGCGGUGGGUGGAGCGCCACUCUAUGGUCGUCUCGUCGCCGAGGAACCCCUGCCCACCGUCUGCAUGGGACCAGGGUGCAGCACUGGGACGGCGUCGGGGGAAACGCCCGCCGAUAUCCACGCGAUGCAGGCGCGAAUACCUCACCGGUUUCGAGACCCCGCAAUGGCACCCCUUCGCAAGCUUAGCGUCGACCUCAUCAAAACGUACAAACACAUCAACGAGGUAUACUAUGCCAAGAAAAAGCGAAGGGCGCAACAAUUGCAGGGCGAAGAUGGGUCCCAUAAAAAAGAGAAAAAAAUAUAUAACGACGGUUGGGAUGAUGAUAACCACGAUUACAUCAUCAAGAAUGGCGAGAAGUUCCUUGAUCGUUAUGAAAUCGAUUCUUUAAUAGGCAAAGGAAGUUUUGGCCAAGUAGUAAAAGCCUUCGACCAUGUGGAACAGACUCAGGUGGCUAUAAAAAUAAUAAAAAAUAAGAAACCUUUCCUUAACCAAGCGCAAAUUGAAGUCAGGUUACUGGAAUUGAUGAACAGAGCAGACACCGACAACAAGUAUUAUAUAGUUAAAUUGAAAAGGCAUUUCACAUGGCGAAAUCAUCUGUGUUUGGUAUUUGAGCUACUUUCCUAUAAUCUGUAUGAUUUAUUGAGAAAUACCAACUUCCGAGGUGUGUCUCUCAACCUGACGAGAAAGUUUGCACAGCAGCUAUGCACUGCCCUGAUGUUUCUGUCCACACCGGAAUUGAAUAUCAUACACUGUGAUCUGAAACCUGAAAACAUCUUACUUUGUAAUCCAAAAAGGAGUGCAAUCAAGAUUGUAGAUUUUGGGAGUUCGUGUCAACUUGGACAGAGGAUAUAUCAGUAUAUUCAGUCUAGGUUUUAUCGCUCUCCUGAAGUCCUGCUUGGAAUACCUUACGACUUGGCGAUAGAUAUGUGGAGCCUUGGUUGCAUUUUGGUGGAAAUGCACACUGGAGAACCGCUUUUUAGCGGGGCUAACGAGAUUGACCAAUUUAACAAAAUCGUCGAGGUAUUAGGAAUGCCAUCAAAGCUCAUAAUCGAGCAGGCACACAAGAUGAGGAAGUUCUUUGAAAGACUUCCGGGGGAUGGCGCUUAUGUACUGAAAAAAUCAAAAGAUGGAAAAAAGUACAAGCCGCCAGGUUCACGACAGCUGCAAGACAUUCUCGGUGUUGAAACUGGGGGUCCAGGCUCUAGGAGAUUAGGGGAAGCAGGUCAUUCGGUCUCAGAUUACCUCAAGUUUAAAGAUUUGAUACUGAGAAUGUUGGACUAUGACCCAAAGACGAGAAUAACACCUUAUUACGCGCUCCAACAUAACUUUUUCAAAAGGACAGCUGACGAAGGGACCAACACAAACAUAGCUGCAACUAGCAGCUCCAAUACUAGUCCAGCGGUGGUUUCACUGAGCCAAGAUCACGAUAUGAUGGGGGGACAGUACGCGGCACGAUGACUGUCGUACCCGCGGGGCGGUGACGACCUGUCCUAGGCCCCAACCCUAAUCUUACUUACUAACAUAAGACUGCUAACCAUGUCAGGACAGAGCAGUGGCACCAGCAGCUUAAUGCAAAUGCCAAGCCUCCCUGGUGGCUAUCAACCAAUGGAGUGUGAAUCUUCACCGCGUCACUCAGGUAGCCGGCGUGCCA
rnacentral:misc_RNA from 1 species